rnacentral:rRNA from 1 species
GGCGGCGUGCCUAACACAUGCAAGUCGAGCGGGGACAUGCGACGGAAGCGAAGUUUCGGAUGGAGCGGAAGAUGUUGUCUAGCGGCGGACGGGUGAGUAACGCGUGAGCAACCUGUCCCUUACAGGGGGAUAACACAGCGAAAGUCGUACUAAUACCGCAUAAGACCACGGGGAGACAUCUCCCAGGGGGUCAAAGGAGUAAUCCGGUAAGGGGUGGGCUCGCGUCCGAUUAGAUAGUUGGUGAGGUAACAGCCCACCAAGUCGACGAUCGGUAGCCGACCUGAGAGGGUGAUCGGCCACAUUGGGACUGAGACACGGCCCAAACUCCUACGGGAGGCAGCAGUGGGGAAUAUUGGGCAAUGGGGGGAACCCUGACCCAGCAACGCCGCGUGAGGGAAGAAGGUUUUCGGAUCGUAAACCUCUGUCCUUGGUGAAGAGGAAGAGACGGUAGCCAAGGAGGAAGCCCCGGCUAACCUACGUGCCAGCAGCAGC